CUUUGAUUCCGGAAACAUGUGGUUGCUGUGGAACGCUGGCGGGAAGUUUAUUUCCCUGCUGCACUGAGAGAGAUAGAGCUGGCUCUAGGCACAGCUAAACGGGGAAAGAGCUGUAUUCAUCAAGAUUGAAGCCUGUGAAAUGGUUCAAAUCCUCAUCUCAAGGGGGUGCCUGUUCUCAUAGUAGGACAUCAUAUCCUGUAUGGGAAGGUCGUCAAACUGGAGAACCUUUUGCAGUCCUUGUGAAGCUGUCGCAAGUGACGCUGAAUCAGCUAGGCUGGUCAGUAAAACAUUGACACCUUUUGCAUGGAGGAUCUCAGUAGCUAAGGCUCAUGGUUCAUCAAUUGAAUCAGAUUCAGUUGUAUUGUGUCUACCAACUGAUGAUGUGAGGCAGAACAGUAAUUGGAUACCAGAAAAUAUGAAUAACAGUGAGUUUUGGCCUCCUUCAGUGUUCUGGAUGGAAGGCGUACCUCGCAAAGUGACUCUGUGUGAACAAAAGGAAAUAUAAAGAAAUAAUAUUUACAGCUAAACUUGUCCAAGUAUCUUAUAGGAAUGAAGUCAGGCCAUGGAAAUCCACAUCUGUGAUGGAGAAACAUUGGAUCAAGGGACUUCUUGUGGAAACAACUAAGAGCGAAACCUGGUACAGAAGCUGAAUCCUGCUGGGAACAUACUUAGUGCAUACUAAGUACUUAGUGGUCUGAGAAUCCCUAAGAAAAUAUAUAUUUUGAACGAUUUACCACUAGUAAAUCUUCAGAAAGCAUGACGCUUGAUAAAAAGCACUAUUCCGGCUAAAAGUGAACGUUAAUCUACAAAUUUUUGUCAAGAAAAACACAAGAUAAGAAGAGACUCUUUAUGACCAAAAGAUUAACUAACAAUCCAGAGGUCUUGAGAAAAAAUCCUGUCUCGGCUGGAUUUUGUAUGAACAAAGGGUCACGCCUAGUUGAAUGCAGUUAUACUAGCAUAUAUUUGGAUUUAAAUCCUAAAAGGGAUUCACCAAAAUAAUAUUAUAGCAAUUGAUAAACAGAGGUAAAUUAAUUGAAAGAUUAUCUUAUAAUGAAACAGGUUCAGUGCUAAUUGAAACUGUUUAUAGUUCAUAACAGUUAUUUCAUAAGAUUAAUAAUAUGUUUUAAGUAUUUGCUAUAAUGAGAAAACAUUAUUUAAAACUGACAAGUAUUAUUGCUUGUUCACGACUUUGCUGUAGUGAUAGAAGUUUAAAACCUGGAGCAGUAUUCGAUUUACUUAAAUGGGAAAAUGGUACAAGUUUAUUCUUCUUUCUAUUGAACAAUAAGACUUCUAGACAUUAUGAUAUCCAUUGAAGUAUAGAAGUUAAAAGGUGUUGUGUUAUGUUUUUGUGUUAAGUUUGUAAUAAUGUACUAUAAUGUACCUUGUUAUUAAUCCACUGUACUAUUGUCUAAUGAUGGUAGAUGGAUUCCUUAUAAUGUGGUGAUUUGAAACUGCUACAGUGAAACCAGGGCAUCUCUUCUUAUCUAGAAAGAGGGAAUGUCCUUGGGUUCCACUUCAGCAGAGCUGCAAGCCUCAUAGAGAUGGAGUUAGUGGUUUAGUACUGAUAAGUAAAUGUCUUGAAAUAAUAUGCAUAACUCAUGGCUUAAUGGACAGGUCAUUUAUCUAAAAAAGUGUUUGCACAGACUCUGACCUUGGAAAAAAUAAGAGACUGUGGAAACUGCUAGCAGUAACAUAUUCCCAGAGAGGUACAGGUCAGAGCCUGGUCAGUGCAUCUCUUAAUGGAUAAAUAAUUGUAAUGAAAACUAUUACCACUUAAACUUAGUGAGACUAAAUGACUUGAAUAUUGUAUGAGACAAACUUUUGUCAAAUACUCUGUUAGACAAUGGUAUAUGGAAUCAAAACUGAUUCAUUAACAAAAUGAUGAAACAAUAUGAAGUUAAAAGAAACACAUACCUUUAAUUUAGCAUAAUAUAAUCACUUAGAAGAUGAUGUCGCAUAUUAAGAACAUCUCUCAUAUAUAACACAUAUAAAAUUAGUGUUUUGCAUGCAGUAGUGUUUUUAUAUUAUAUUAUAAACCAAGAUCCUGGGAACCUGGGUUCACUUAACUUUUCAGAUAAAGGAGGGGCUCGGAGGAAAGCAAAGAAAUGAGAUCAUAAGAGUUGAAACAAAUGUGAAGUUUUGAAUUUAUUGAAGUCCAUGACACCUAUUAAUUCUGAAAAGUUAGUCCGGAUCUUUUGAAAACUAUUAUUUGUAAAAGGGAUAAAGAGCUGUCUCACCUGAUUAAUGAUUGGAUUUAAUUGAGGUGUCCCAUGUAUUCCAAUGAGACAAAAAACCUAUUUAACUCCAGAGUAAUUUCAAUGGAGUACCACACUCAUCCCAGACAGGGCAAGGUGGUCCAUCUUCUGCAAACCAAAGACACAAUUGAGCUGAUUGAAUUCAGUUUCAUUUGCCUGGUGAAGACAGCCAUAUCCUUUUACGAUUUAUAUUAAAGGGUAAGCAUUAAGCAAUUAUUAUUAUUAUUAUUUUAUCUCACAUGUAUUGCAUGUAUUGCCAUAAGGGACUCACACUAUGUUUUAGAAAUAAGAGAGAGUUUUGUUGAAUGUGCUGAAAUAGACCAUUGGGUACUUUAGGUGACGUGUUCUUGGCCUGCUUGUCGGCCUUGAUUAACACAUAUAUACAUGUAUUAAAGUGUUAACGUUGAUAUCUGUUAAGACACUGGACUGCCCAGUGUGCCUUUCUGCUGGGGAUACGACGUAGCCUGUAGCUACUCUAUCCAAUAUUUAACCGUUAAUAAACCGAACGAGUACUGAUCAUACUCCGAUUCGUAAAAAACUUUAAAUACAUGAGUCUGUCAAUUUCUUGAGUUCUAUAUUAGUUAUCUGGAUAUACUGCGGGUCCAGAGCACGAACUAUAUCCCACUAGGAGUAAUAACAUCUCUGUCCUCCUAACGUCUCCCCUGAGAUAAGAGUGUAUGCUGAGCAAAUAACUGUGGGGUCGUAGGGAUGUCUAUUGUUUGGUGUAAAGUAUACUGCACCCCUAUGCCUUUGCAUUCUGGAGACCUGGGUUCAGGGCGAAAUUAGUUUGGUCUCAGCAUUGGCCCAGAAAAGUGGCAGUGUAUCUGAGGGAAGCUUAGGACAGAAUGGA